GAUGAACGCUGGCGGCGUGCCUAAUACAUGCCAGUCGAGCGAACAGACGAGGAGCUUGCUCCUCUGACGUUAGCGGCGGACGGGUGAGUAACACGUGGAUAACCUACCUAUAAGACUGGGAUAACUUCGGGAAACCGGAGCUAAUACCGGAUAAUAUAUUGAACCGCAUGGUUCAAUAGUGAAAGACGGUUUUGCUGUCACUUAUAGAUGGAUCCGCGCCGCAUUAGCUAGUUGGUAAGGUAACGGCUUACCAAGGCAACGAUGCGUAGCCGACCUGAGAGGGUGAUCGGCCACACUGGAACUGAGACACGGUCCAGACUCCUACGGGAGGCAGCAGUAGGGAAUCUUCCGCAAUGGGCGAAAGCUUGACGGAGCAACGCCGCGUGAGUGAUGAAGGUCUUCGGAUCGUAAAACUCUGUUAUUAGGGAAGAACAAAUGUGUAAGUAACUAUGCCCGUCUUGACGGUACCUAAUCAGAAAGCCACGGCUAACUACGUG
rnacentral:rRNA from 1 species